rnacentral:rRNA from 1 species
GAUGAACGCUGGCGGCGUGCCUAAUACAUGCAAGUCGAGCGAACGGACGAGAAGCUUGCUUCUCUGAUGUUAGCGGCGGACGGGUGAGUAACACGUGGAUAACCUACCUAUAAGACUGGGAUAACUUCGGGAAACCGGAGCUAAUACCGGAUAAUAUUUUGAACCGCAUGGUUCAAAAGUGAAAGACGGUCUUGCUGUCACUUAUAGAUGGAUCCGCGCUGCAUUAGCUAGUUGGUAAGGUAACGGCUUACCAAGGCAACGAUGCAUAGCCGACCUGAGGGUGAUCGGCCAAACUGGAACUGAGACACGGUCCAGAAUCCUACGGGAGGCAGCAGUAGGGAAUCUUCCGCAAUGGGCGAAAGCCUGACGGAGCAACGCCGCGUGAGUGAUGAAGGUCUUCGGAUCGUAAAACUCUGUUAUUAGGGAAGAACAUAUGUGUAAGUAACUGUGCAAAGCUUGACGGUACCUAAUCAGAAAGCCACGGCUAACUACGUG